rnacentral:rRNA from 1 species
CACUACAGCCAUAUCACCCUGAACAUGCCCAAUUUCCUCUGAUCUUGGAAGCUAAGCAGGGGCGGGCCUGGUUAGUACUUGGAUGAGAGAUCACCUAGGAAUACCAGGAGCUGUAGGCA